GAUGAAGAACGUAGCGAAAUGCGAUAAGUAGUGUGAAUUGCAGAAUUCAGUGAAUCAUCGAAUCUUUGAACGCACAUUGCGCCCCUUGGUAUUCCAUGGGGCAUGCCUGUUCGAGCGUCAUUUGUACCUUCAAGCUCUGCUUGGUGUUGGGUGUUUGUCUCGCCUCUGCGUGUAGACUCGCCUUAAAACAAUUGGCAGCCGGCGUAUUGAUUUCGGAGCGCAGUACAUCUCGCGCUUUGCACUCAUAACGACGACGUCCAAAAGUACAUUUUUACACUCUUGACCUCGGAUCAGGUAGGGAUACCCGCUGAACUUAAGCAUAUCAUAAGCGGAGGA
rnacentral:misc_RNA from 1 species